rnacentral:tRNA from 1 species
GCCCAGAUGGUCGAGUGGUCUAAGGCCGCGGUCUGCAAAACCGUUGUUUCGUGAGUUCGAAUCUCACUCUGGGCU